rnacentral:piRNA from 1 species
UCCAUUUGUUGGUGCUGGCUCUCACCC